rnacentral:lncRNA from 1 species
GUUCCAUCUCAGAUCAUACCGGCCAUUAGAUUCUCAUAAGGAGCACGCGACCUAGAUCCCUCACAUGUCCAGUUCACAAUAGGGUUUGUGCUCCUGAGAAUCUGAUGCCCCUGCUGAUCUGACAAGAGGUGGAGCUCAGGUGGUAAUGCUCACUUGCCUGCUGCUCACCUCCUGUUGGGUGACCCGGUUCCUAGCAGGCCAGGGGCCAGUAUUAGUCUGUAGCCCGGGGGGUUGGAGAGCCCUAAUACGGAAGACCUGUUACCCUGAUCUUGGUAUCAUAUUCCAGGCCUAGGAAACUAAACUGGUAAAGACAAGCAAACUCCCUAUUUCAGACAUCAGGCCUGGGAAUAGACUGUUUGUAAAAUGGUACCUGAAGAAUAUAAUGAUUUCAGCAGCUGUGCUUUGGGUGAACUUUCUUCCCUCCGAUUUUGGCUAAUAUCUUGAUGGCUUUUUUACAGCUUCUGAUACCACAGCUCAUUAGCACUUAGUGAAAACAUCUAUACUGAAUUCUUACCUUCCUGAGUCUAACUUAACUUCUGGUGACUUGGGGGUGAAGAGAGAGGGGGCUGACAAUAUUUAAUUUGGAAUGGGCUGAGAUAUAUUUUUGUGGGUAGAUAUUUUUCUCUGCAGGAUUGACCACCUAAAUGUUCAAGAGCUACAAAUGAAGAAUGACAUGCUUCCCAUGCCAUUGGCAAGGCCUCAAGGGUCUCAAUAAAGCAUCACUUAAUAUUCAUGAGGUUUCUUUCAUGCAUGCCCUCCUUAGUCUCAGGCUACAGAGCGGGUUAGGUGGAGGUGCUUAUGAAGUACUCUCUGAUGAACAGAAGCAUAAAUCUUGAGUUUAAUUAGUAAUGCUAUUCAGCUCCAAGACGAGCUGACAUGCCCUUUGUAGGGCUUUGAGUUGGUAAAGCCAGGGGAUCAAUAUCACUUUAAAGGUUGUUUCUCUCUGUUCACACAUAGAGCACAACAAAGGAAAGAAUUCUUCUAGGAAACAGCAGAGAGAUCAGUUUCUUCAAAAGUGGGUGAAGAUGUAGACAAUGACCAUUUUUCACAACAAACAUCAGCAGAACAAUUUUGUGUUUUAAACACAGAUUUAAUGGGUGGGUUUGUGUGAAUGUGUGCAUUUGGCAAAGUUCUCAAGAGCUGUUCUUUCUUCAUGGGGGAAGAAAAGAAACUCUCAGCAAAGGCCAAGGAAACUAUUUCAGCUAAGAAAGGAACUGCAAUGGUUUGUAAUGUAACUCAUGAAAUAAUUGUAGCCAGAGCCAGAAAAUGCAGUCAUUGGGAAAGCCUCAGUAAGAAUAAGACUGUGAGGGGCCCCAGACAGCUGUGCUUUCAUCUUUACCAUCUCUACUACAGGAAAAUGACCUUACAACGACUUUCAAGACCUAUAUUUCUUUAUGAAAGAAACUAUUAGCGGGAAUAAGAAAAUUAUAGACGGGGCCUAAAAAUGGAAUAGAAGAGGAAGUUCUUUUGAGUUUACUUAGAAAGAAAAUAAUUAAACUCCUUUGAAAUUAUCUUUUAUCUUAAAGUACAAAAGAGGCCCUUGGGGAGGGAAGAGACCAUAAGCAGGACACAUGGUCAGAUCAGGCCUUCACAGGCCAAUUGCUGAAACAGAUGAAAUUAAAAGCCAUUGAUUUAAUUAGGUCACCUUAGCACUUUGAUCAGGGAGACCAUUUACCAAGUGUGACGUUGCUCGAUAUUUGGCUAUUACAACAGAAAGAAGAAAAGACGGAUCAGUGGUUGAAGAAGCGCUCAUGGAUAUGCACAGAGACAAAGUGUAUAAUGAGCAAGUAUCCCAGGGUUCUUUGCCUCGUGACCAAGAAAAUUAAGGAGCGUGGACACAAAGGGUGAGGUUGGAAUGAAUGUUUAAUAAGCAAAAGAAGAAAGCUCCCAACCAAGGAGAGAGGGCCCAAAACAGGGUUGCCAACUAUGAGGCUGAGUCCAGGGUAUGAAUGGACUGGGAAGGGGAGGAAUGUGCUGACUGGUCUGCAGGCUGUUUUGGAG